ACAAAAUUCAAAGUACAAACAAGUUCCUCCACUUCCAGAACCUUCAACACAACAACAAAGCGACGCGUGCUCACUAGCUCCGAAACCAUCUCUCUCUCUAUCUGAUUCUUCUGAAGCGCCCAUGUCUAGGAAUCCCAGCAAGCAUGGCCGUGAUCAAGCUAUGGAUUUCCAGGGGUUUUUGAAUGACUUGCAGGAUUGGGAGCUUUCUCUCAAGGACAAAGACAAGAAGAUGAAGCCUCAAGCUCCUCAGAAGGAAAAAUCGGUUUCUUCUCGGAACAUUGGAAAAACUCCCUCAGUCGAUUAUUCGAGUAAUUCAGGACAAUUUGAUUACAUGAGGAACUAUGGAGUUGAUUCUACGUCAACUAGCCUCAUGACUGAAGAGAGUUUUCCUGAUGCUACUUCAGAGAAAGAACUGGGCAAUGAGUAUUUUAAACAGAAGAAGUUUAAGGAAGCUAUCGAAUGCUAUUCAAGAAGCAUUGCCUUUUCACCAACAGCAGUGGCUUAUGCAAAUAGGGCGAUGGCCUAUCUCAAAAUCAGAAGAUUCCAAGAGGCUGAGGAUGAUUGUACAGAGGCCCUGAACUUAGAUGAUCGCUACAUAAAAGCAUACUCACGUCGAGCUACAGCUAGAAAAGAACUUGGGAAAUAUAAAGAAUGCUUUGAGGAUGCUGAGUUUGCCCUGAGGUUGGAGCCUGACAACCAAGAAAUUAAGAAGCAGUACACUGAGGCCAGAUCAUUGUAUGACAAAGAGAUUCUUCAGAAGGUGUCUGGACCACCAAGAAGUUCUGGGCAAGGAAUGCAGAAAGUAGUAAGUUCGGGGAGCAAGGUUAAUGGACAUAGUGUUCAUCCAGGACCAAAUAAUAUUCAAAGGUCAGGAGUGUCUACCGUUCAAGAUCACACCAAGGACAAUGUUGAACAGUUUCCUGGGAGGGCAUCUGUGGAGGAAAGAGAUAACAAAAGUGUGAAUUCUGUUAGUAGAAUAGAAGAACAAGAAGUUGAUGGCUCUCGUCUAGUUGCAAUUCAGAGUUCAAAAGUGAACAGCAUUAAGAAAAAUCACAGAACAGGAAAGCAAGAGCUGAUGAAGUCAGUGCAAGAGCUUGCUUCUCAAGCAGCUUCUCGAGCCAAGGCUGAAGCUGCAAAAAACAUCACACCACCAAAGUCGGCUUAUCAAUUUGAGGCUUCUUGGCGGGAACUCUCUGAUGACCGUGCUCUCCAGGCUCGUUUAUUGAAGGCUGUAUCUCCAACUGCAUUGCCACAGAUAUUCAAAAAUGCUUUGUCUGCUUCCCUACUAGUUGACAUUAUUAAAUGUGUUGCCACCUUUUUCACUGAAGAAAUGGAUCUGGCUAUCAGAUACAUAGAAAACUUAACCAAUGUCUCAAGAUUUGACUUGCUCAUCAUGUGCCUUUCAUCUACAGAUAGAGAUGAUCUCCACAAGAUUUGGGAUGAAGUAUUUUGUAGUGAGGCAACGCCAAUUGAGUAUGCGGAGAUGCUUGAUAAACUUCGUUCAAGAUACUGCCUCAACCGGUGACAGGCGUGUUCUAAAAGAGAUCUUAGGGAUGGUCUUUGUGCUAUCACAUUUUCAUUUUUUGUCCUCAGCCAUCAUAAUCCUAAAUCACUUAAUUAAAUGUUGAAAUGCUCCACCACUAUUUGGUCUACUUUGUGGACCUUCAUAAAAACAAUCCAUGAAGGUCUGAAAUAUGUUCUUUUUCAUCUGGUUUGUUUACAUGAUCCCUUCAGGUCACGGCUAUGAUCCUUUGUUCCGAGUUUGUGCAUUUGUACAUAGGUAAUUGAUUUUGAUGAUAUAUUAAGCCUUGAUAUUACAAUCUCCAUUAUCUUAUCCAUUAUUACAAGAAUUAUCAUUGGGAUCCAAA